GAGUUUGAUCUUGGCUCAGAACGAACGCUGGCGGCAUGCCUAACACAUGCAAGUCGAACGAAGGCUUCGGCCUUAGUGGCGCACGGGUGCGUAACGCGUGGGAAUCUGCCUUUAGGUUCGGAAUAACUCCUCGAAAGGGGUGCUAAUACCGGAUGAUGUCGCAAGACCAAAGAUUUAUCGCCUGAAGAUGAGCCCGCGUAAGAUUAGCUAGUUGGUGAGGUAACGGCUCACCAAGGCGACGAUCAGUAGCUGGUCUGAGAGGAUGAUCAGCCUCACUGGGACUGAGACACGGCCCAGACUCCUACGGGAGGCAGCAGUGGGGAAUAUUGGACAAUGGGCGCAAGCCUGAUCCAGCCAUGCCGCGUGGAUGAUGAAGGCCCUAGGGUUGUAAAGUCCUUUUAACGGGGAAGAUAAUGGCGGUACCCGUAGAAUAAGCCCCGGCUAACUUCGUGCCAGCAGCCGCCGU
rnacentral:rRNA from 1 species